AGUAGCCGCAGCAACCGCAGGCAUCAGUGCGGCUGGAAAGAGCAUCGUCGGAGUUUCAGAAUCCGAUGAUCGAGCAGGCCACUUGGGCCAGUCACCCUGUCUUCCCCAGAAAGGGAGAGUAGAAGGCGGAGAGCCCUCCAUCCGAUCAUGAUUCCACCCCCGAAGAGUCCCUACCUCUGUUCCACUAGAAGACCCUCAAGACUCACAGUGGAGAGAACCUCCUGGAUCAAAGAUUCCAGAAGAU
rnacentral:lncRNA from 1 species